GAUGAAGAACGUAGUGAAAUGCGAUAAGUAGUGUGAAUUGCAGAAUUCAGUGAAUCAUCGAAUCUUUGAACGCACAUUGCGGCCAUAGGUAUUCCUUUGGCCAUGCCUGUUCGAGCGUCAUUUACACCCUCAAGCCUAGCUUGGUGUUGGGCGCCUGUCCCGCCGUUUUCGCGCGCGGACUCGCCUCAAAGUCAUUGGCGGCGGUCGUGCCGGCCCCCUCGCGCAGCACAUUUGCGCUUCUCGGAGGCCCGGCGGAUCCGCGCUCCAGCAAGACCUUUCACGACUUGACCUCGGAUCAGGUAGGGAUACCCGCUGAACUUAAGCAUAUCAAUAAGGGAGGA
rnacentral:misc_RNA from 1 species